UAUAUUUUAGUGUAUGACGCACAGAAGCUUUUGAUGCUUUUAGAGAUAGUUUGAUUCUAUUAAAUAUAA
rnacentral:tRNA from 1 species